ensembl:lncRNA
GCUUUGGACUCAGAGCAGAGGCCGGCGAGCUGCGAACUGGCGGGCUGCGGGUGGCUGCGGACCGCACCGCGGGGAGGCGGAAAGUUUCUCCGCCCGCCUCGUCCUGCGAGCCGGCGUCGCCCGCUGCGGGCCCUGCCCGGCCGAGCAGUUCCGCAAAAAGAGAGGAUCGCACAGCAAAAUACAGUGGAAACAAAACCCCAAGCCAGCCGCGAGGCGCAGGGGGCAGGUGUGCCAGAAGUCAGGCGAGAUCUCGCUCUUGAAGCAGCAGCUCAAGGAGUCCCAGGCCGAGGUGAACGCCAAGGCCAGCGAGAUCCUCAGUCUGAAGGCGCAGCUGAAGGACACCCGGGGCAAGCUGGAGGGCAUGGAGCUGAGGACGCAGGACCUGGAGAGUGCCCUGCGCACCAAGGGCCUGGAGCUGGAGGUGUGUGAGAACGAGCUGCAGCGCAAGAAGAACGAGGCGGAGCUGCUGCGGGAGAAGGUGAACCUCCUGGAGCAAGAGCUGCUGGAGCUGCGGGCCCAGGCUACCCUGCAGCGGAGGGCGCAGCCCUGGGGCCCAGGCUGGGAGCUGCACCCACCUUCUCAGAGGACAUCCCCGCCCUGCAGAGGGAGCUGGAGCAGCUGCGGGCGGAGCUGAAGGAGGAGCGGCAAGGCCACGACCAGAUGUCCUCCGGCUUCCAGCAGGAGCGGCUGGUGUGGAGGGGAGGAGAAGGAGAAGGUGAUCCAGUACCAGAAGCAGCUGCAGCAGAGCUACCUGGCCAUGUACCAGCGCAACCAGCGCCUGGAGAAGGCCCUGCAGCAGCUGGCCCGCGGGGAAGGGGCCGGGGAGCCCUUUGAGAUUGACCUGGAAGGGGCCGACAUCCCCUACGAGGACAUCAUAGCCACGGAGAUCUGAGGGGCCACCUGGGGGAGGGGGGCUGGGGACCUGGUGGCGGGGGCUGGGCUGAGUCUUCCCGAGGAGGCCCCCGUGCCAUCUGCCCUGCACAGCAGCUCCGGCCUCCCGAGCUCAGCCCUCCCGAGCUCAGCCCCUGGAGCUGCUUGUGGGCAGGGGUCACUACAUCGCCUCCUUCCUCUGACCCCUCCUCCCCAACUCUACAGAGCACGGGACUUUGGGCUCUACUCCCCAGCUCUCCCCGAGAUGGGACGGCACAGGGUCCCUGUGGUCGGUUAAGGGCUCCCUGAACCUUGGCCUCUGCUCAAGUGAGAGAGACCCUCUGCCGUGAAACCGAGUGCCUGCCCUGAAGGCCAAAAGGCCACACCAAGGACAGAAGCUCCCUUCUGCGUCACUUCCCCAAACCCCCGACCCGGACACUUCAGGAUGCCUUGGGAAUAGAAAGAAGCCAUGUGUGCCCAGAAGCCUUGAUCUGUCCUCACGACCUGAGCCCUUCUCCUCUGGCCUCGGAGGUGUAGGGGUCGGGAUGGGGCUCGGGGAGCGGCUGGGGUACAGCGGGGCUGAGGAAUGAGGACCGGCAGCAGAUUAGUGGGGUCUGACAUCUAACUGAGCUGUGCAGCCCCUGAACAUCUGGUGACAUUUGCCUCGGUGACCACCCCUCUCAAAGCCAUAGACACAGAGGCUCUGGGUGGGGUGCCGGGACAGGGACACUGAGGCCUGGCCUUCCAGCUGCCCCAGGGAGCCUCCUGCAUGUGCCAGCUAGGGCUGAGGGUGCCUUGUGAUCUGGGAAUCUCGCCCCUCACCUGUGGCCCAAGUCAGCGUCCUCUCCUCCCCACAACAUCUUCAGCACUCAGUUCUGGGUCUGCCCAGGUCGGGACGGGCGCCCAGCGUCCUUGGGUGUGUGGGGUGCACACACAGCCUUAUGGACAGCCGGGGCUAUCACUGCCCUCCCGCUACCUCUCGCCCUCAGGAGCCGUGGGCUGUGAGUCCCUGCCAAGAGCAGUGGCCGUCCAGGGACACAGCCAGUGCCUGUGGAAGGUUAGGCUUUCUCUUGAAAUGUCCAGAGCAAGGGGGGAAGAACAGCAGUUUCUCAGUUGCUUGGUUCAGGGAAUUUUCUUUCUUUCUUUUCUGGUCUUCUCAGAAGCAAGCCAGAUCUAGCAGGCAGCCAGGCUGCUCCGAGUUAUAUUUUUGACAUAGCUGCAGCUGCCGUUGGCAGGACAGCCAGCCCUUGCUGGAUUCCUGCUCCUCACGCCUGCCUGCUGAGAGGGCCCAGGGUGGAGGAGAGACAGAUGCACCAGAGUCUAGGUACUUGGUGGUCCGAGAACAGUCCCCGGUCCUGGCUUCUUUCCGCAAGCUGAUCCCAGAGGCCGGGCAGGAAUGGGGCUCGAACUCGCAUCCAGCCCUACCCUGAGUGGGGCACCAUCCUUAAGGCCCGAGUCACCUGUUCCCUGGCUCAGGCCGUGCCUGUCCUGCUGUGCUCCCAGGACAGGGGCAUCCCCUGGAGUCUCAAUCCACUGUUCUUAGUCACAGGUUGCUUUGAAACCUGGAAUGGCCAGGCUCAAGGGCCCCUCCGUGUCCCCUCCACUGGGGACGCUGCAGACCUGGAUCAGACAUGCCCUGUACCUUGUUUGAGUCGAUCCCAUGGAGAGUGAGAAUGGAGCCAGCUGCUCUUCCUUGGCCUGAGGCCCCCUGCCCCCAGGUGUACCCUGGGCAGGGCAGGGCAGACAUCAGACACACUCACUGGGAGCUAGGCCUUCCCUUUCCAUGGCCCUGUGGCCCCUGCCCAUCUCAGACAUCCACCUGCCCGGGCCAUGCCCCCCCCCCCGGCCGAGGUGGCACCAGAAUGCAAGGGUGCUGCCCCUCACCUUCCUGUGUGUUUCCUUCCUUCCUUGCCAUCGGAAAGCACCCUCGCUAUUACUGGACCUGUGCACCAAACCCAGCCUCUGAAGGGAGGCUGUGGGCAGCAGAGGCCAAGCAGGGCCUGGGGAGGCUGAGCUCAGCAAGGCGGCCUGGGGGUGCUUGCUCACUUAGACCUAUACUGUCUGCUCCCCAAAAGGUCUGGGCCUGAUGGUGCUCUGGUCUCCGCAGAGAGCAUCAGCACCCCCUCUCCACGGAGGGGGUCACUUUGGGUAUCAGGGCUACCAAACCCCACGGGCACCUCCUGGGUGUGUUCUGUGAGCUCCAGCCAGGUGCACUUAGCCCCCAUGGCACUGAGCGAGGGUGGGGGCCAGCGAUUGGCAGAUCUCCCCAGAAGGCAUCCACUGAGCUGUGUCCCUGACCCCAGCCAGGGCCAUCUCAGGUGACAGCGCUGCCCAAGGAGAAGCCAGGCUGGGCCAUGGGAGCAGCAGCCUCCGGCCGGGGGUUCCCUGUGGCCCUGCCCUCCCAAAGGCCAUGGCACCUGCCCUCUGUGCUGUCUCUGGCAAAGCUGGAGCCUGGCAGAAGCUGGCUUUGGGUGCCUGGCCCUUUGAAGACGCUGUACAUAGUUAUUUUUCUCUGUUUCUGGUUUGCUUUGCAUUGCUUUCGGUGACUUCUUAUUUUAUUUUUGAUGUCACUUUUUGGUCAUGUAAACUAUUUCUGGUAAUUCUGUGAUUUAUUUAUGAAUAAAGAAUGCCAUUUCUCAUGCCUUUCACAGCCACUUUUGCCUCCUCAAGCUGCUGUGCUCCCCCCUGCUGUGGGG